GAUGAACGCUGGCGGCGUGCCUAAUACAUGCAAGUCGAGCGAACAGACGAGGAGCUUGCUCCUCUGACGUUAGCGGCGGACGGGUGAGUAACACGUGGAUAACCUACCUAUAAGACUUGGAUAACUUCGGGAAACCGGAGCUAAUACCGGAUAAUAUAUUGAACCGCAUGGUUCAAUAGUGAAAGACGGUUUUGCUGUCACUUAUAGAUGGAUCCGCGCCGCAUUAGCUAGUUGGUAAGGUAACGGCUUACCAAGGCGACGAUGCGUAGCCGACCUGAGAGGGUGAUCGGCCACACUGGAACUGAGACACGGUCCAGACUCCUACGGGAGGCAGCAGUAGGGAAUCUUCCGCAAUGGGCGAAAGCCUGACGGAGCAACGCCGCGUGAGUGAUGAAGGUCUUCGGAUCGUAGAACUCUGUUAUUAGGGAAGAACAAAUGUGUAAGUAACUAUGCACGUCUUGACGGUACCUAAUCAGAAAGCCACGGCUAACUACGUG
rnacentral:rRNA from 1 species